rnacentral:rRNA from 1 species
UACGUAGGGUGCGAGCGUUGUCCGGAAUUAUUGGGCGUAAAGAGCUCGUAGGCGGUCUGUCGCGUCUGCUGUGAAAUCCCGAGGCUCAACCUCGGGCUUGCAGUGGGUACGGGCAGGCUAGAGUGCGGUAGGGGAGAAUGGAACUCCUGGUGUAGCGGUGAAAUGCGCAGAUAUCAGGAGGAACACCGAUGGCGAAGGCAGGUCUCUGGGCAUUAACUGACGCUGAGGAGCGAAAGCAUGGGGAGCGAACAGG